ACCAUCUAAUUGUGGUAUUUUAUCUUAGUGUCCACUGGAGGUCUGAAUAAAAAGCGACAGGACUGAUGGCUGUAGCUCAUUUCAAGCAGUAUCUUGCAGGAGAAGAAGAGCAGCUGCCUACCAAAUGCUCCGGGAUCCUUUGAAGGACUGCAUCAGUUAAGAGAAAAUCCUUACACACUGAGAUCACCUGGUGGCCUCAGGACUGACUUGACUGAGAUCACCUCCUGAAGCUGCAAACUCCACCUCCAUGCCGUGCCAAGGGCAGGAAACCGGAACAAAAGAGAUCCCCCGUCUACAGGUGAGGGCCAACACUGCUGGAGCUGACCUCACCACCACCUUUGCUUGAGAAAGAGGUUUGUAAGCUGGUGAUACUUUGCCUGCGUUUCCCCGGUAUGAAAAGAUCAUGCCAUUUUUACAAAGUUAUUUUUAUUUACCAAUGAUUAGUUCAAAUCCAUUAUUUCAUUAUUAAGAAAAAUACUUUUUAUAAAAAUCUAAACUAUUCAAAGGAGAAAGCAGCAAUUAAAGAAAGUCUCUUUCUUUC